rnacentral:rRNA from 1 species
UACGGAGGGUGCGAGCGUUGUCCGGAAUCACUGGGCGUAAAGGGCGCGUAGGCGGCCUGAUAAGUAGGGGGUGAAAUCCUGCGGCUUAACCGCAGGGCUGCCUUCUAAACUGUCAGGCUCGAGCACAGUAGAGGCAGGUGGAAUUCCCGGUGUAGCGGUGGAAUGCGUAGAGAUCGGGAAGAACAUCGGUGGCGAAGGCGGCCUGCUGGGCUGUUGCUGACGCUGAGGCGCGACAGCGUGGGGAGCAAACGGG